rnacentral:lncRNA from 1 species
AACUUUUCCUAUGAACUCUUCUCUAAAGCAGGUCACAGGGAAAAAAAGGGUUUAAAGAGAAAUAACUUCUCCGGGCAAAAACUGAGGUUAGCGGGCCUAUCAGCUGUUUCUUCUCACUCCACCACUGCUGCUGACUGGAGGAGCAGCCUGGAAAGCAGCCGCCCUCCCGCAAACAGCAGAAUGACGCAUCAUCCAUAAAAAAUGUGAAUGUGAGGACGGUGGGACCAUCCUGGCACACUGAGCAGCAGGGACCUCCGAGCCCUCAGAUGUCAUCCAGCCAGGCUGACCAGAAUGGUGGUGAUAUGAAGAGUUGGGGAAUUCGACUUGAAUACAAAACAUAACACUGCUUUCACUUAAAAAGGUUGGUGAACCAUACUCCAACAGAAAGGGGACAUAAGACUGGCUCUGCUGGAGUGAGGAAGCUGACUGAGGGAAGAACCAGAAGGCUGCCAAAAUACAAUUGUGUGCCUUUAAAGGAAAUAACAACAAGAAUUAGGAGCGCCCUGGAGGCAAGGUCUGCUGCUGGGGAAACCAAACCACAGUAACUUCAGAAAUAUAUACUUGGAAUAUGUCAUGUAUUAAUGGGUAAAGACACCGUGGAUAUGAAGGAAAUCACCUAUGGGAGAAUAUUAAGAAGAGAAGAAGGGGCUGCUGGCUGUAGUGAAAUGUAUAAAAAGGAGAGUGUGAUCCUAGUUUCUGUCUCUAACUAUGAGUUACUUGUGAUUAACUUCAAAUAUUCUCUCCAUAAGAAGAGGCCCAGAAGAAGAAGAUGAGCUUCAGUUAUUCUAGCACAACUGCUGUGAUAUUUGUAAAUAUUCAAAACCUAUAAUAAAAUGUAUAAAAGGAAACUCCAUUUGAAAUGAUUUGAAAUCUCACAUGGAAAUCUAUUUUUUUUAAAUCAGAGCUUAGUAAGAGAAAAUAACAGAACAUUGUAAUAAUUGAAUUACAAAAACAACUGAAUUUUGGAAAAUUUAUUUUCUCUCAUGUGAUGUGUGUGUAUGUGUGUGUGUGUGUGUGUGUAUCUAUUUAGCAAUGGCGUUAUUCUAUCAAAUGGGAUUAGAUUCAUUUUUGACUCCUGCUAAGCACCCUGUCCCCCCAACCCCAAGAUUAUGAAAGCGGAAGGGAAGGGGGAGAUAGGAAAUAUGACUUAUUUAAACUGUAUAAAAAUGCUGAAAUAAAAUGAACAUUCAAAACUCAUGUGAUUGAAUUUAAUCUUUCUUUUGUUCAACACAUUCAC